CCUACGGGCGGCAGCAGUAGGGAAUAUUGCUCAAUGGGGGAAACCCUGAAGCAGCAACGCCGCGUGGAGGAUGAAGGUUUUAGGAUUGUAAACUCCUUUUGUGAGAGAAGAUAAUGACGGUAUCUCACGAAUAAGCACCGGCUAACUCCGUGCCAGCAGCCGCGGUAAUACGUAGGAGGCAAGCGUUAUCCGGACUGACUGGGCGUAAAGGGUGCGUAGGUGGUUUGACAAGUUAGUAGCGCAACUCCGGAGCUCAACUUCGGAACUACUACUAAAACUGUUGGACUUGAGUGCAGGAGGGGCAAUCGGAAUUCCUAGUGUAGCGGGGGAAUGCGUAGAUAUUAGGAGGAACACCAGUGGCGAAGGCGGAUUGCUAGACUGUAACUGACACUGAGGCACGAAAGCGUGGGGAGCAAACAGGAUUAGAGACCCUAGUAGUC
rnacentral:rRNA from 1 species